UUCAAAUGAUGUUUCAAAUGUCUGACCUGAAAUAUAUAUGUGGACUUGUGUUACUGCUGAUCUA